GGGUUGUGAGGUUAAGCGACUAAGCGUACACGGUGGAUGCCCUGGCAGUCAGAGGCGAUGAAGGACGUGCUAAUCUGCGAUAAGCGUCGGUAAGGUGAUAUGAACCGUUAUAACCGGCGAUUUCCGAAUGGGGAAACCCAGUGUGUUUCGACACACUAUCAUUAACUGAAUCCAUAGGUUAAUGAGGCGAACCGGGGGAACUGAAACAUCUAAGUACCCCGAGGAAAAGAAAUCAACCGAGAUUCCCCCAGUAGCGGCGAGCGAACGGGGAGCAGCCCAGAGCCUGAAUCAGUGUGUGUGUUAGUGGAAGCGUCUGGAAAGGCGCGCGAUACAGGGUGACAGCCCCGUACACAAAAAUGCACAUGCUGUGAGCUCGAUGAGUAGGGCGGGACACGUGGUAUCCUGUCUGAAUAUGGGGGGACCAUCCUCCAAGGCUAAAUACUCCUGACUGACCGAUAGUGAACCAGUACCGUGAGGGAAAGGCGAAAAGAACCCCGGCGAGGGGAGUGAAAAAGAACCUGAAACCGUGUACGUACAAGCAGUGGGAGCACGCUUAGGCGUGUGACUGCGUACCUUUUGUAUAAUGGGUCAGCGACUUAUAUUCUGUAGCAAGGUUAACCGAAUAGGGGAGCCGAAGGGAAACCGAGUCUUAACUGGGCGUUAAGUUGCAGGGUAUAGACCCGAAACCCGGUGAUCUAGCCAUGGGCAGGUUGAAGGUUGGGUAACACUAACUGGAGGACCGAACCGACUAAUGUUGAAAAAUUAGCGGAUGACUUGUGGCUGGGGGUGAAAGGCCAAUCAAACCGGGAGAUAGCUGGUUCUCCCCGAAAGCUAUUUAGGUAGCGCCUCGUGAAUUCAUCUCCGGGGGUAGAGCACUGUUUCGGCAAGGGGGUCAUCCCGACUUACCAACCCGAUGCAAACUGCGAAUACCGGAGAAUGUUAUCACGGGAGACACACGGCGGGUGCUAACGUCCGUCGUGAAGAGGGAAACAACCCAGACCGCCAGCUAAGGUCCCAAAGUCAUGGUUAAGUGGGAAACGAUGUGGGAAGGCCCAGACAGCCAGGAUGUUGGCUUAGAAGCAGCCAUCAUUUAAAGAAAGCGUAAUAGCUCACUGGUCGAGUCGGCCUGCGCGGAAGAUGUAACGGGGCUAAACCAUGCACCGAAGCUGCGGCAGCGACACUAUGUGUUGUUGGGUAGGGGAGCGUUCUGUAAGCCUGUGAAGGUGUGCUGUGAGGCAUGCUGGAGGUAUCAGAAGUGCGAAUGCUGACAUAAGUAACGAUAAAGCGGGUGAAAAGCCCGCUCGCCGGAAGACCAAGGGUUCCUGUCCAACGUUAAUCGGGGCAGGGUGAGUCGACCCCUAAGGCGAGGCCGAAAGGCGUAGUCGAUGGGAAACAGGUUAAUAUUCCUGUACUUGGUGUUACUGCGAAGGGGGGACGGAGAAGGCUAUGUUGGCCGGGCGACGGUUGUCCCGGUUUAAGCGUGUAGGCUGGUUUUCCAGGCAAAUCCGGAAAAUCAAGGCUGAGGCGUGAUGACGAGGCACUACGGUGCUGAAGCAACAAAUGCCCUGCUUCCAGGAAAAGCCUCUAAGCAUCAGGUAACAUCAAAUCGUACCCCAAACCGACACAGGUGGUCAGGUAGAGAAUACCAAGGCGCUUGAGAGAACUCGGGUGAAGGAACUAGGCAAAAUGGUGCCGUAACUUCGGGAGAAGGCACGCUGAUAUGUAGGUGAAGUCCCUCGCGGAUGGAGCUGAAAUCAGUCGAAGAUACCAGCUGGCUGCAACUGUUUAUUAAAAACACAGCACUGUGCAAACACGAAAGUGGACGUAUACGGUGUGACGCCUGCCCGGUGCCGGAAGGUUAAUUGAUGGGGUUAGCCGCAAGGCGAAGCUCUUGAUCGAAGCCCCGGUAAACGGCGGCCGUAACUAUAACGGUCCUAAGGUAGCGAAAUUCCUUGUCGGGUAAGUUCCGACCUGCACGAAUGGCGUAAUGAUGGCCAGGCUGUCUCCACCCGAGACUCAGUGAAAUUGAACUCGCUGUGAAGAUGCAGUGUACCCGCGGCAAGACGGAAAGACCCCGUGAACCUUUACUAUAGCUUGACACUGAACAUUGAGCCUUGAUGUGUAGGAUAGGUGGGAGGCUUUGAAGUGUGGACGCCAGUCUGCAUGGAGCCGACCUUGAAAUACCACCCUUUAAUGUUUGAUGUUCUAACGUUGACCCGUAAUCCGGGUUGCGGACAGUGUCUGGUGGGUAGUUUGACUGGGGCGGUCUCCUCCUAAAGAGUAACGGAGGAGCACGAAGGUUGGCUAAUCCUGGUCGGACAUCAGGAGGUUAGUGCAAUGGCAUAAGCCAGCUUGACUGCGAGCGUGACGGCGCGAGCAGGUGCGAAAGCAGGUCAUAGUGAUCCGGUGGUUCUGAAUGGAAGGGCCAUCGCUCAACGGAUAAAAGGUACUCCGGGGAUAACAGGCUGAUACCGCCCAAGAGUUCAUAUCGACGGCGGUGUUUGGCACCUCGAUGUCGGCUCAUCACAUCCUGGGGCUGAAGUAGGUCCCAAGGGUAUGGCUGUUCGCCAUUUAAAGUGGUACGCGAGCUGGGUUUAGAACGUCGUGAGACAGUUCGGUCCCUAUCUGCCGUGGGCGCUGGAGAACUGAGGGGGGCUGCUCCUAGUACGAGAGGACCGGAGUGGACGCAUCACUGGUGUUCGGGUUGUCAUGCCAAUGGCACUGCCCGGUAGCUAAAUGCGGAAGAGAUAAGUGCUGAAAGCAUCUAAGCACGAAACUUGCCCCGAGAUGAGUUCUCCCUGACUCCUUGAGAGUCCUGAAGGAACGUUGAAGACGACGACGUUGAUAGGCCGGGUGUGUAAGCGCAGCGAUGCGUUGAGCUAACCGGUACUAAUGAACCGUGAGGCUUAACCUUACAACGCCGAAGGUGUUU
rnacentral:rRNA from 1 species